rnacentral:misc_RNA from 1 species
CCCAACUAUCCCUAUUAAUCAUUACGGUGAUCCUAGAAACCAACGAAAUAGAAUCAGUCCGUCCUAUUUCAUUAUUCCAUGCUAAUGUAUUCAGACGAUAGUCUGCUUUAAACACUCUAAUUUUUUCAAAGUAACAGUCCUGAUUUCCCAUCACACCAAAUAAAUGGCAUGAAAGUUCCUCAGAAGGUAGAGAUCCAUCUCACCAGUGCAGACAAUUAAGCCUGACCAAUGGGUAGACCCCGAGGUUCAACUACGAGCUUUUUAACUGCAACAACUUUAAUAUACGCUAUUGGAGCUGGAAUAAUGAAAUAGGACAUCCGAUUCUAUUUUGUUGGUUUCUAGGAUCGAUGUAAUGAUUAAUAGGGAUAGUUGGGAAGCACCUACAC